rnacentral:rRNA from 1 species
AAAGGUGUGCUAAUACCGCAUAAUCUCUCAGGAGAAAAGCAGGGGAUCGCAAGACCUUGCGCUUUAGGAGCGGCCGAUGCCUGAUUAGCUUGUUGGUAAGGUAAAAGCUUACCAAGGCUUCGAUCAGUAGCUGGUCUGAGAGGACGACCAGCCACACUGGGACUGAGACACGGCCCAGACUCCUACGGGAGGCAGCAGUGGGGAAUUUUGGACAAUGGGGGAAACCCUGAUCCAGCCAUGCCGCGUGAGUGAAGAAGGCCUUCGGGUUGUAAAGCUCUUUCAGCCGGAACGAAACGGUUACGAUUAAUACUCGUAAUUAAUGACGGUACCGGCAGAAGAAGCACCGGCUAACUACGUGCCAGCAGCCGCGGUAAUACGUAGGGUGCGAGCGUUAAUCGGAAUUACUGGGCGUAAAGGGUCCGCAGGUUGUUUUGUAAGUCAGAUGUGAAAGCCCCGGGCUUAACCUGGGAACUGCGUCUGAAACUACAAGGCUAGAGUAUGGCAGAGGGGGGUGGAAUUCCGCGUGUAGCAGUGAAAUGCGUAGAUAUGUGGAGGAACACUGAUGGCGAAGGCAGCCCCCUGGGUCAAUACUGACGCUGAGGGACGAAAGCAUGGGGAGCAAACAGGAUUAGAUACCCUGGUAGUCCAUGCCCUAAACGAUGUCAACUAGUUGUCGGGCCUUUACGGGCUUGGUAACGUAGCUAACGCGUGAAGUUGACCGCCUGGGGAGUACGAUCGCAAGAUUAAAACUCAAAUGAAUUGACGGGGACCCGCACAAGCGGUGGAUUGUGUGGAUUAAUUCGAUGCAACGCGAAAAACCUUACCUACCCUUGACAUGUAUCGAAGCCCGCAGAAAAGCGGGGGUGCCCGAAAGGGAACGAUAACACAGGUGCUGCAUGGCUGUCGUCAGCUCGUGUCGUGAGAUGUUGGGUUAAGUCCCGCAACGAGCGCAACCCUUGUCAUUAAUUGCCAUCAUUUAGUUGGGCACUUUAAUGAGACUGCCGGUGACAAACCGGAGGAAGGUGGGGAUGACGUCAAGUCCUCAUGGCCCUUA